AUCAUACGACUCUCGGCAACGGAUAUCUCGGCUCUUGCAUCGAUGAAGAACGUAGCGAAAUGCGAUACUUGGUGUGAAUUGCAGAAUCCCGUGAACCAUCGAGUCUUUGAACGCAAGUUGCGCCCGAGGCCUUUCGGCCGAGGGCACGCCUGCCUGGGCGUCACGC
rnacentral:rRNA from 1 species